GUGUUUGAUAGAGCAGCUCAUAGAUUAAAAUUGGAACCAUACAGAGAAGAUUAGCACAGCCCUGCACAAGAAUUACAUAUUCAAGAAGCUUUCUGUACUUUU